UGCCUAUGCCUGCUUUCUCUUUGCCCC
rnacentral:piRNA from 1 species